UGAAAGAAAAAUACUACGCACUGAUGGUUGUGUAUAUAAGUUUGCUCAUAUUCAUAUGAUCAUUGGGAUGCAGCAGCUGGUGCCAUUCAUUUCCAUACACGCAUAUUUUCCUCACGAGGAAGACAUGAAAACAGGGAAAAAGGAGAUAUUUAUGUGCAGGCAGGUGCUCUUCUUUAAUAACAUUUUGGCUGCUUAAAUGCAACCCAACUGCUGUAAACCACUUCUUAUUUUUCUUUUGCAAUCUAUUAUUCCUCCUUUUCAAAUAAUCAUGAGAUCCCAUGUCGGCUCAUAAAGGCCGUAAUACUUUUAUAUCUGCGCUUAUUUCCAACCACGUAACUUAAUUAGAGUUAUU
rnacentral:lncRNA from 1 species